GUGGGAGCGGCGGGGCUUCCGGGGAGGACGCUGGGACGCGCGGACGAGGCUCCCGGUUUAGGGAAUGGGUGGCUUUCGGAGGCUCCUGGGGGCCCGGCAUGCCCGCUGCUUGCGGGGCGUCCCAGGCUGUGCAGGAUCCCUGAGACGCUGCACCUGGGGCCUCAUAACGCUCAAACACUUUUACAUGCUGCUGGAGCUCAUAGUGGUCAGGAAAAUUUUUUAAAAUAGGCUGGGAAGUUGAAGCACAUGGCUCUGGCUUCUGGUGAGAGGUUUCAGGCUGUGUCAUAAUAUGGCAGAGAAGAUCAGUGGGUAAGUGGACAUGUGUGAAGAGAGGCAAAACCAGAGAGCACCCAGGCUGGACUUGAGCUCUUUCCUGGACUUAAGUGAUCCUCCUGCCUCAGCCUCCUGAAUAGUUUAACUUGACAAGAGUAGAAAAAUGUCAAGGUACAAGACAAUGCAAAACGUAAGGACAAGGGAGUAAAGCUUCCCCUUUCACCCUCUGAAGGUUUGGCUGAAAAUGAGCUGAAAAAGGCAGAGCAACAGGAGAAAAGGCAUGCGUUUAUUUUAACGUGCAUACCACGGGGAAUUGCAGAAGAGUAAUGACCUCAUAACCCAGCAGGGUCCAGAUGCCCGUAUACCCUCUCUUCGUAGGAAGUGGAGCCAGAAUCCACAGAUGUCAUUAUCCAUCUGCACACUUUGUUUACUACCCAGAAGGCAAGAAUAUUGCAUUUUAAAAGUAUCCGGACUUUUGUUCUUUAUCACAAAUGACUUGGGAAGCUCUGACCACUCAUGUUUACCCUGAGUGAAAGUCCCAGUCAAAGCCUUGCUUCCUGGAGAGCUUUGAGAUUCUGGUACAAAGGCAUUUUAUAAGCACAAAGUGGAAAAGCAUCAUUCAUAUUCAUUUGCUGCUGUGGCAUUUCUCCCUGGAAUCUUCCUCUUGUCUGUCAACAUUAGGCAAAAGGACUACUCCUCAUGUACUUUACAAAUAUUCUUGUCAUGGUCUGGAGGUAGGAAAAGGACACCCAGCACAAGAGUAAAAAGGGAAACUCAAGCUCUUCUGUUGGAGAGUCUCAGGCUUCUUUAUCCAUAAAACUGAUUGGACAUAAUUGGUGUGGGUUGAUGAUUUGUUUUGGAAAAACCCGAGUAUGAAAUCAAUACCGUGCUUUGUGCAUCUUGGCUGCAAUGAGUGUUUUUUAUGUGAUUGCAGGGACCGGUGGGAGAGGCGGCCAUCCGGAGGGCUCUCUGAGGGGUCAUUUAGAAUGCAGCUGCUCUGGGCAGAGGAUGGUCUGGGCUGGCCUCCGCUGCACUGAGAGGCUUGCAGAGUGGAGAAACGUCCACUAGCAUGGCUUCUGUGAGGUGCGGGCAGCUCUUUUCUUGGCGUGGGGCUCUGUUUGGUGUGAUAUAAGAGAUAUCGCAGGGCUUUCCUGUCCCGGAAGAUCUUGGUGGGUGACACCUGUGGGGGUUGCCAGCUGGAUUAGGUGAGGCAGAGCACACAGCUCUACCUAACAAGUCCCAUUCUCAUCUGGGAAUAUUCCAGGACAUAGGGCACUACCCAAGAGGCAGAGCCUGGAGUGCCAUUAUACAGGUGAAAGAUCUGAGUGCCAGGUCCAUGUAAAUGAGGUGGGUUGGGGUGGUCGAGGUGCUUAGAGAACAGGAGAACUGCCACAGGAAGGGAUGGUACCCACAGGGAGGAAGACCCAUGUCUCAGACCCCUUCCUUUAUACCUCUUCCUGGGACCUCCUCGGAGUCUGCAGAUCAGCUGCUGCUUCUCCGUCUUCCGUCGUCGUCUUCAAACCUUUUCAUCACAAAAAAUGCUGAGUGUAAACCUAAGUAGAGAGAACAGUAAAAGGAACUCCCAUGAGCCGUCACCAUCACCUACCAUCAACAGCGAUCAACACAUGGGCCGUCUACGUCCGUCUUCCCUACUUGCAUCCCCGCUCCAGAUUAUUAUCACAAGUAGCUCAUCCCUGGUUAUAUUGCAUUUAAUCCUCUCUGUUGCAUUUUUUUCUGGCCACGUUCUUCUGUCUGUCAAUCAUUGUUUUAAGUCAGACAGUCUGCUGGGUUGGC
rnacentral:lncRNA from 1 species